GGCCGGUUGGCGCAAUGGUAGCGCGCAGCCCUCCUACUGCUUACGCAUUAGAGAAUAGGCUGAGGCUGUGGGUUCGAGUCCCACAUCGGUCG
rnacentral:tRNA from 1 species